rnacentral:misc_RNA from 1 species
CUGAAAAGGUGGUGGCCGAUAACGAGGCCCCGAUACCGGGGGCUGGUACCUCUUCAGGAGCUUGGCCAGCAGGACUUUCACUGACUUCGCCACCCAGCUGCAGUUUCUCAGGGCCCUGUUUGACCAGUUGCACAUGAAAAGCAGCGCCUUCGUCCUGGACAAGUCUCUCCAGGCCAAGUGCGUCGACCGCUUGAAUGGAAAAGUGCGCCGUGAGGCGGUCUUUGCACAGGCGCGCGCCGACGACGCCGACGGGGACCCAGCGCGAUCGAGACAGGCCCAGGAUAGCUCCCCCCGACUGCAUCACUGCUCGGACGCCGCGCCUACUGCACAACCUACUGUGCAUCCUGAAAGCAGCACCAGUGCGAGCGGCAGCGGACUUGCUAUCCACGUUGCGCACGCUACUGUGAUUAUGCCCAGUGGGUGGAGCGCGGCCCGGCCACAGAAGCGCCAGUUUCCAGGUCCAUUCUCGAUGGUCUCUUUGGAGGUGCAAGCACUGCAAGAACGGCGGCAGCCCCCCCCCUCCAUCCUGCCGCUGCGACCGGUGCCGGCCACUUACGCCCGGCAAGUGCGACGGGAGUAUCGCUGGCCCGCAUCCAAGCAUUGAAGGCGACUCCACCGCCAUGGCCGAACUGAGGUGGGGCCAUCACGGAACGACAGCUGAUGCCACGCGCUCAGUCAGGGAAGGAGGUGAUAGGAAGCACUGUUGUAAGCACUCUCUGCGCUCACCGUCACCAGAGCCGCUCAUCGGCUCUUGCAGACGGGCAGCGCACAAAUCACGCCUUCGCGGAUGUCGAGGCGGCGAUGAAGCCUCAGAUGGAUGUGCAAACGAGGAGGAGGAGGAGAACUGCCCGCUAUCUCGCGGAUAGCUGGGUGCCAGUGCCAGGAAGGGAGGCCGGCACUUGCAUAGCUCGGUGAAAUGUACCAUGCGUGCGUGUCCCUUGCGUGGUUGCCAUCGAGCACCACACCGCACCACCACCACCAUUACUCCUCCUCCUCCAUUCGCUGGCCUUUGUCGUAUGCGCACAAGCGCGCGCUUCUAC